rnacentral:piRNA from 1 species
UACACUAAAGAGCACACUGUCGCUUUCGUGUC